rnacentral:rRNA from 1 species
AUUGAACGCUGGCGGCAGGCUUAACACAUGCAAGUCGAGCGAGCGGCGGACGGGUGAGUAAUGUCUGGGAACCUGCCUGAUGGAGGGGGAUAACUACUGGAAACGGUAGCUAAUACCGCAUACCAUCAGAUGUGCCCAGAUGGGAUUAGCUAGUAGGUGGGGUACUGGCUCCCCUAGUCGACGAUCCCUAGCUGGUCUGAGAGGAUGACCAGCCACACUGGAAAUGAGAAACGGUCCAGACUCCGACGGGAGUCAGCAGUGGGUAAUAUUGCACAAUGGGCGCAAGCCUGAUGCAGCCAUGCCGCGUGUGUGAAUAAGGCCUUCGGGUUGUAAAGCACUUUCAGCGAGGAGGCGUUACUCGAAGAAGAAGCACCGGCUAACUCCGUGACAGCAGCCGCGGUAAUUC